GGUGUAUUGCUGGAAAGGUCUACGGUUUUCAGCUAGAUAGGACUUGGAGGGAUUUUCUAAGUUUACUGACCAUGGCGUUGAGGGAGUAGUGCCUGUAGAACUUUUACCACCCGAUUUUCGUUUCAAAUACCAGUCUAAACCAAAUGACAGGGCUAAACGUGCUAAAAAGGAAGAAGCAAAGGGUUCUGCACAGCAAGGGGAAGAAAAUGAGAUCUCAACUCCUGCGAGUGAAAAUGAUGAAGGAAUCAGAGGUGAUCUCGAGGCCUCUACAACCCCAAUGGAU